rnacentral:misc_RNA from 1 species
GAUGAAGAACGCAGCGAAAUGCGAUAAGUAAUGUGAAUCGCAGAAUUCAGUGAAUCAUCGAAUCUUUGAACGCACAUUGCGCCCGCCAGCAUUCUGGCGGGCAUGCCUGUUCGAGCGUCAUUUCAACCCUCGAGCCCCCCCGGGGGCCUCGGUGUUGGGGGACGGCACACCAGCCGCCCCCGAAAUGCAGUGGCGACCCCGCCGCAGCCUCCCCUGCGUAGUAGCACACACCUCGCACCGGAGCGCGGAGGCGGUCACGCCGUAAAACGCCCAACUUUCUUAGAGUUGACCUCGGAUCAGGUAGGAAUACCCGCUGAACUUAAGCAUAUCAAUAAGCGGAGGA